rnacentral:rRNA from 1 species
AACCUCCGCAAUGUGAGAAAUCGCGACGGGGGGAUCCCAAGUGCCAUUCUUAACGGGAUGGCUUUUCAUUAGUGUAAAGAGCUUUUGGAAUAAGAGCUGGGCAAGACCGGUGCCAGCCGCCGCGGUAACACCGGCAGCUCUAGUGGUAACAAUUUUUAUUGGGCCUAAAGCGUCCGUAGCCGGUUUAAUAAGUCUCUGGUGAAAUCCUGUAGCUUAACUGUGGGAAUUGCUGGAGAUACUAUUAGACUUGAGACCGGGAGAGGUUAGAGGUACUCCCAGGGUAGAGGUGAAAUUCUGUAAUCCUGGGAGGACCGCCUGUUGCGAAGGCGUCUAACUGGAACGGUUCUGACGGUGAGGGACGAAAGUUAGGGGCGCGAACCGGAUUAGAUACCCGGGUAGUCCUAACUGUAACGAUGCGGACUUGGUGUUGGGGUGGCUUUGAGCUGCUUCAGUGCCGAAGGGAAGCUGUUAAGUCCGCCGCCUGGGAAGUACGGUCGCAAGACUGAAACUUAAAGGAAGU